rnacentral:lncRNA from 1 species
CGUCGGGUCUCUCACGUACGCGGCCGGAGAAAGGGAAGUAAGGAACUAGAGCGCGAGAGAGUGCUGACUUGAGACGAUCCGAGAGAGAAACCGGGUCGGAAACGGGUGAGUAAACGAGGAGGUACUCGAUGGUGAAACGGAGGAAAAGUUGAGAAUCUAAGGCGGAGAGAGACAGAACAGUAGAAGGUGUUUGGUCGGAAGGAGUAAUAACUGUGGCUUCUUUCACAUUAACCAAGGAUCCCAUGGUGCUUUUUCUACGAUGCUCUGUUCUUUUUUCCCUCUGAAAUAAAGAAGGUGGGUCUCUGCGAUGUGUAUUAUAUAUAUAUCUCUCUGCUAUGUACAUUCACGUAGAGAGAAGUAUGGAGACAAAGGGUAAUUUUGUAAAUUGUGUCUUCAUUUUAGACAUGGUAUGUCUUGUGUGUUGUGUUCAUGCAUAUGUACUCUUCUGUGUACGUGUUCCCUUGAUUGUUCUCAUUGAUUUUCAAAUCUACAGACCUUGUUUUUGAUCCGUUGUGGGAUGUUUUACAAGUUACUGUUAGACAUGUUGAUUUUUCAAUUUAGAGCAGUGGAUAAUAAUCCUCCAUAUGUUUAUAUACCUUAUAUUUAAUAUUCGAUAAACAGGAUAACAACCUACUUUUAUGGAUAUUGAAAAGAUUUUGACGAAUAUUUGGUUAAUUUGGGAUAUUUGGUGGUAUUAAAAUUGAUGGUUACUACUGUUUCGGUGGGUGCUCACGCAUAUCUAUACAGCCUAUACAAAUACGUUCAUCGACCAUUGGGAUAAGAUCAUUCACACAACAAUCCAUUCGUUGGGAUAAGAUCAUUCACACCGCGACUAUCCAUUUUCUUUAUCAUGGAUUGACAAGGUUUGAUCCGUAACGAAUUUUACAGUUUAGGAAAACACGAUUUAGUGAAAUCAAACUCUAACAAAAAAGUCGUAAAAGUAAACAUUUAAACCAUUGACUAAAAAACACUUUUUUUGCUAGACAGUCCAUUUAGGAGUAAACAUUUGCAUACACUUAACUUAUCACGUACAAGAACAUAUGUUUCAUUUGUAUAUGACUAUAUGUAAAUGUGUAAGUUUACAUGGCUUCCUGACAUGGCGUAUAAUUUCAAAAUGAUCACAACCAUCUAUACAAUAAGGAUUUAAGACAAAAAUAUCUAAAUAAAUAUAAGGAAAACGUACCUUUUGCUAAAGUUUGGAAACACAUUUUACAAAGAAUAAGUUACAAAUGUCACUAAGCCAAGUUUCUCUACUACUUAGUAGUAAAUUAUUGAUACUGAUUUUUUUUUAAUUAAUUAUGAAAGUCUUUGAAUUGAGGUGUUGCGAUGUGAAAUGAAAAACUAAAACUGAUUGAAAAUUAAAUGUAGAAAACAUACAUCUUGUAUUUAUGUUAACAAUAUGUACAAGUAACUAAAGGUUCGAAUGAUAAAACAUAUCUAAAAGAUAACGCAGAUCAAGCCGAUUAUAUACAAAUCAAAUAGAUAUGUAGAACAAAUGUAAAUCUAACUAAUCAAACUAAUUUACCGAAUCAUGUUCAAUCUAAUUGAGUAUUGAAAAGAUAAAAUAAUGUAAGUCAGAUCUUAAAAAAAAUAGAAGUUCUAGUUAAAUAUAAAAUAAAAAUGAAUCCAUGUGUUAUAACAUAGUUUUUUUGACAAUAAAUUAAACUUAUUGAAUAUUAUUUAUCAUAUCCAACUCAUAUUAACACAUUCAAAAAUUUAUUUCAUUGAAAUAUAGCUAAGUCAGAAAAAUAUAUCAUAUUUAGUGAAGUUAUACAUUUUAUAUGAUACACAAUAACAUGUAUAUCUACUUAUUGCAAAAAAUUAUAUGACAAGUAUGAAUCUGUAAACUAAAUAUAUAGAUAACUUAUGUGAAUGUACGUAUAAAAGAAAAUAUACAUAAUCAUAUAUAUUUUAUAUAUCACUUUAUAAAUUCUUUUUAUAAAUAAAUUUCUACAUAAAAUGAAAAUAUUAAACCAUAUGUCUGAGAGAAUUUGUAUUUAGUUUGAGAAUUAAUGAAAUAAAUUAAAUAAGACUAAUUAUUGGUCCUCAUCAUUCUCCCAACAGAUUUUUUCACUGCAGGCAACAAUUUAAUAUAUAUGCAGAUUUUUAUUAUUUAAUUAUUUAUUUUUGUUCCGCAAUUAAUAUUUUGAAUGGUAAACAAAUGCAAAACAAAAUACAUAAUAAAUUGAUUGUUUUAAUCUUGCAUCUCUCAUGCACCUUUCAAGUAUGUCAAAAUUAACGAAGAUUUUAGCUUCUUUAUUUUGAACUUUAAGUUUUGCCUCUCCAGAGCUUCUAUUUUGCCGUCAGAUCUUAUAUUUGACUUUCAUCCUUAAAUUAACAUUAUUAGAUGGAAAAUAUAUGCUAGUAAUUCAUCAACCCAAAUAUGUCCGUGGCACGUAUGGUAUAUUGUUUGUUUAAAAAAAAAGGGUAUAUUCUUACCAUUAAAUUAAAGUCUGCAUACAACACCUACUUAUUAUACAUGGGAUCGAACUGUUUAUUGACAGUGGUAAUGGAUUGGUCUACGCCUAAUGAUUCAUGUAGCCAAUCUAAACAUAAAAGGUCGCAAAAAAUAACCUAAAAGCAAGAAAAAGUACGAGACUUAUUCGACUAAAUUCUGAGUCCAUGAGCAAAUUACAUUUUAGAAUUGCAAAGGUUUUAAGAGAAAAAAGGUCUAUAAUCAAUCUAGAAAACGUUAUAGCUUUCUUGUUUAUAAUUAUGACGUAUUAAAAGGGAAAAUAAUCGUGAGAAUCAAAUUGGUGGUGGUGGCGGUUUACAGUAUGAUGUGCAUUGUUGUUUGGGCAAUGGCGUCUGUCUACAACAGUGAAAGAUUUGGUGCCAAGAUUCUCAUGGAAUAACUUUAUAGGACAAAGACAAAAAUAUAUUCAUGGAAUAUUAUAUGAAAGAGUAAAUACAUACCCUUCCAUAAUUAUGCAGAUUUUAGCUAGAGAAAAGAAGAUCACAACUUAUUUCCUUGGUUUUCUAAUUACAGUCAUCUUAUAGUAAUAUUUCUUAGAUGGAUAAUAAGAAUUUGUCCUUUGCUAAUUUUCUCUAUUUGUUACCAUAACUAAAAUGUGUUAUUUGACAAAAACAAUAAACAUUUUGAACAUUUAAAUUCCUACUCAUAAUUUUGCAACUAAGAAAAUUAAGCAAUAAUAGUUGGUUUCAAGUGGUGCUUAUAAUUAAUAUUGGCUUCUAAAGUAUUUUUGUUCACAUAUAGCUACAGCUAGGACUGCUAUUGAAAGCAACAAAAGGCAAUACCUCUCGCUUUACCAUGAGCCAUUGGUUCUAGGUUAUAUACAGACAUUAGACUUUAAUUUUCAAAUUUUUGCAAGGGAAUCAAUUUAAAACCAUAUGUUCGUGCACUUUUAACUGAAAUCAUAUAUAUAUGUCCCUGUUCUAAAAAUCUAUUUUUUUAAAAAUUGGUUAAAAAAUAGGGCCGUCUGGGCGCUACGCGUCACUCUUCCGCCCCGAUUUAUGCCAAAUCGGUUAAAAAAAUUGGAUAUCCGAUUUUCUCCGCCUAGACCGCCUAAAUGACCGUCUAGCCGCUUAGGCGGCCGUCUAACCGCCUAAUCUAUUUUUUAUUAUUAUUUAUUAUUUUUGAUAAUAUUUCUAUUUAUUUAUUUGAUCUAAAAUUUUAUAAAUAUCAUUUAUAUUCAUAAUUUUGAUGAAAAUUACACUAUAUUAAGUUUAUAUAUUCUAUUUGUGUGUUUUAUACAAUCUUAAACAUGAAAAUGUAUUAAUGUUAUACACAAUUAAAGAUUAACAUGUUUUAUAACAUAGUAAACAAUCUAAAAAUUCCGUCCCGCAUAGAGAGAGUGCUGACUUGAGACGAUCCGAGAGAGAAACCGGGUCGGAAACGGGUGAGUAAACGAGGAGGUACUCGAUGGUGAAACGAAGGAAAAGUUGAGAAUCUAAGGCGGAGAGAGACAGAACAGUAGAAGGUGUUUGGUCGGAAGGAGUAAUAACUGUGGCUUCUUUCACAUUAACCAAGGAUCCCAUGGUACUUUUUCUACGAUGCUCUGUUCUUUUUCCCUCUGAAAUAAAGAAGGUGGGUCUCUGC